rnacentral:piRNA from 1 species
UUCCAAGGUCAUCUACAAUGUCUUAGGACC